rnacentral:rRNA from 1 species
AUUAGUUUUUUAAUUGAAGGCUAGAAUGAAUGGUUGGACAAGAAAUAAGCUGUCUUAAUUAAAUAUAUUGAAUUUAACUUUUAAGUGAAAAGGCUUAGAUAAUCUGGAGGGACGAUAAGACCCUAUAAAACUUUAUAUUUAUAAAUGGUAGUUAAUUUUAUUUUAGAAUAUUAUUUUGGAAUAUUUGGUUGGGGUGACAAGGAUAAAAUAUGAAAUAACUGUCUUUUUUUUUUACAGUGAUAUUUGGUUUAGUGAUCCUGAAGUGGAUUAUAAGAUUAAGUUACUUUAGGGAUAACAGCGUAAUUUUCUUUGAGAGUUCUUAUCGACAAGAAAGUUUGCGACCUCGAUGUUGAAUUAAAGGUUCUUU